rnacentral:lncRNA from 1 species
CGACCUAUUGACAGUUCCAUAAUUUGAUUGCUUUUAGAAUCAGCAUGUGUGAUCUCCUACAGAUCGUCGUCGGUACUAGAUAUGUUUUGUUCCAUCAUUAAGAAGCACAUAUCUAAGCAUUAAUUACGAGUACAGAUUAAGGAUUAGAUAGGCGAAACUACAUGAUAAUGGACCUCUAAAUUAGAUUGAUCAUGUUAUAGCGCUGCAACAUCACGGGCAAAUGCCAAUCCGAAAAAAAACUACAAGAAGCAAAACAACAACAAAACAGCUGCCGCCUCCGAAUAGCGGAACCAUGGGGUGGGUGGGCCCGUUAGCAUACACAUUUCUUUUUUUUUCUUUUUCUUUUUGAAAGUGUGCAUUUCUUAGUAAGAGGAAGCAGGUGAUUGCUUUUUCACCGUCUUACAGAUACAGGACAGAGCGAUUCAUUAUUCACCCUUGGGCCGUCCCCCUAUAAGAACCGAUUCCCAGAACCCCGUCUUGCUCCCGAACACAACCGGCUCUCGGUUUAUUCGAUAGAGGAAAGGAGAUGGAUGAGAGAGGAGUACUAGUUGCUUUUACCCUGUGCAAGUUCAGGAGGUCCUCGGCCGGGGGGGGGGGGGGGGAGCCUCAUCUGUAGAAUUUAGGGCGUGAACUUUAGAGGCUGGCUACGAUCAAGUUUGAUUGCAAGGGGUGGAGCGAAUGCAGCAUCUUAAUUUUACCUGCUUGAAACAGCGAAAUCUCGCAUUUAGACAUUUUGCACUAGUAACAUUUGUUUGUCCCUUGCAAUACUAAAAAGUACCGCAUCAAGGCAAAUCAAAUCCCCCCGCGUUACAUCUAGAAUCAUUGCGACGACAUACGAAGUACAUGAAAAUGCUUCAUUUCAUUAACAUAGAAAAAGUUUGGGUGUCAUUUUAGUACGUAAUAAAGAAGAACUUUGGUGACUAGCUAAUUAGAAGAAAGCCAGAUAAAUAAAAUUGUCACACCACGCCCGCAAUGCCGGCCGCCAUAGAACAUGACCACAUUCGAGACAUAACCAGUCGACGUGCAUGUGGCUACCAACAUAUAUACACUCAAUGUAGAGAUUUUACGGGCGGGGACCCUAACACCUACUCUUAGGACCUUUGUACACCUGCGCUACUUGGGAUACCACACUCACUAGAAGGGAAUCCAAAACUUUAUUUACUCUCAUAAUAUUGGUAUAACACUCCUUUAGUGGCUACCUCGUUACUACACAACCAUACUACUUCUUCUCGGUAGCUCACACUUUUAUUAGUGUGUUCCACUACUUGUUGUGGUGCUUGUGG